rnacentral:rRNA from 1 species
AUCCGUAAGAAUUUAAUUUUGGUUCUGAUUGAACGUUUUUCAGUAGUUUUAAGACAUGCAAAUCAUUAUUAAUAAAAAAUAUUAUUAUAUAAAUUUCCAAAUAAAUAAUAUUAAUAAAAAAUAAGGUGUAAGGGUGAGUAUAGGUAGAUUAGAUACCUUAUAGACUUCUUAAAUAGAAGAUUAUUACUUCUUGAUCCACAAAGGAUCCGGUAUGCAAGCUUUGCACAACUCGAAAAAGAUACUUAAAGUAAUAUAAAAUUAAGAAAAGAAAUAUUUUUGCCUAACAAACAAAAUAAAAAGAUAAUCUUUUUAAAAAAUUUUAAUAAAUUAACAGUAGUUAAGAAUUAAAAUUUUAGUAAUUUUAAAUUAGUGCUAAAGCUCCCCUCUCUGUACAGAGAGGUUCGAGGGCUAAAGUAUAAGGACAAGUAAUAUAAUAAUUUAGCAAUUAUAAAAAGGAAAUUUUCCGCUAUAAGAUUUGAUCUAUUCUGUUUAAAGGUAGUUGGUAGAGUAAAAGCCUAUCCAAGCCUACGAUCAGUAGCUAAGUUUGAAAGAACAAAUAGCCACAUAGGUAAUGAAAUUUUCCUAGUAGUGUUUUUACUACCAGCAGUCAAGAAUCUUAGUCAAUGCUCGCAAGAGUGAACUAGCUAACUGAAAUCGCAUAUUUCGUUAAUGGAAAUGUGAUAAAGUAAGGGAAGAAGUCUGACGUUACCUUACUAUAAAUUUGAUGAUCAUGGGUGCCAGAAGACUCGGUAAGGCCAGAGACGCAAACGUUAAUCGCAAUAACCAGGCGUAAAGGGUUCGUAGGCAGCUUAAAAAUUUUAAUUUAUAUAGCUAUAUGAUUAAUAUAUAUAUUAAUUAUAAUAAUUUUAAAAAUAAUACAAGAUAUAAUCAAAUAGAGGAUAAGUUGAACAAUACUUAGAGUAAGGGUUAAAUCUAUAGAUACUAAGUAGAAUACUCAAGGUGAAAACUUUUUAUCCAUUAUUGAUGGAAGCUGAGGAACGAAGGUUUGAACAGAAAAUAGGAUGUGCGACUUGAUAAGUCUAAUUAUUGUAUUGUAUUCUCAGAAUACAUUAUCUUUCGUCUGAUAAUAGCCAACCUAGACAUGCAAAAGAUUUGAUUUGAAUUUUAUCUUUCCAGAAAUGGUUUUGUGUGAAGCUCUAGGGUAAAGUUAAUUUAAAAGGUAAUCUACCUUGAACAUUUGAAAUUCAAAUGUUUUAUAACGAAGGCUGAUUUCUAAGGUUAGGGAGACCGAACUUAUGUAGUAAAGCUUAUUAAUUAGGCAACUAAUCGUCCUAGUUAGUUGUAGACGAACAAAUAAUUAAUAUUUCAAAGUAAGAACCUAAGGAAAUCUAUCGUACAUAAUUAGAAACAAGGGAACACCUAUAACCUGCAAUUAAUAUUUUUAAUUCUUAAUAUAAUAAAAUUGCUAGCUUAUUCCGUAAGGGUAAGUACAUGGUUAGAGGUAAUAUGAUUUAGAAAAAAGCGAAUGUCUAUUUGUAAUGAAUAGAAUAAGGCUAUGCCUAACCUGAAAGGGUGCCUACUUUCUAAAGGUGCUAUAACAAAUAUAAUAAAUAUUUAAUUAAUAAAACAUUUUUACUUAUUUAAUUUAACCUCUGCGUAGCGCGUAGCAGUAGCGUAGCCGAUUUAAAAUUUAAAACUUUGCCCCACUUUAGUAGUAGUUAUAAAAAAGAUUCUUUUUUUUUUUAAUUAGGAUACAAUUCUUUAUUAAUAUAUAUCUUUUCGGCUGCAGUAGCAAGCGUUUAUAGAAGAAAAGAUUAAACCAACUCCAAUUAAACUUGAACAUGCAAUUCCAGCUCCUAUUUAUUUAGCUGCUGCUAACUUAAAUUUUAAGACAUGUAAUAAUAAAAAUAACGAAUUGUUGCCUGAAAUUCGGCAACAUGAAGAAGGAAUUUCGAGUAAUCGUUGAUCACAAGCGCAACGGUGAAGGUAAAAAAUUCGUGAUGAACUAACUGUCUGUCACUGGGAAGAAGCUCGGGUAGGGGGAAACUGCUUCUUAAUUAAUAACUUUUUCUAAAGAAUAGCUUAAAUUUUAUUAAGUAAAUUUUUAAGUGUUGUUUUAUUGAUAAACUUUUAAAUUUUUAAUUGUUUAUCCUUAUUAGUUGUUUGGUUUUAAACCUUUAACAACAUUUUAGUAAGAUUAAACAUCUUUGUUAAGCUUAAUUAGUCUUAGUUAACUCAUCUAAGUAACAUCUCAAAAGUCAUAGCAAGGUAGCUGUACUGGAAAGUGCUGCUGUAAUAUAAAUACA